GUAGGGAAUAUUGGACAAUGGGCGGAAGCCUGAUCCAGCCAUGCCGCGUGGAGGAUGACUGCCCUCUGGGUUGUAAACUCCUUUUGUACAGGAAGAAACCUCCUCAUUAAUGAGUGAGCUGACGGUACUGUAAGAAUAAGCACCGGCUAACUCCGUGCCAGCAGCCGCGGUAAUACGGAGGGUGCAAGCGUUAUCCGGAUUCACUGGGUUUAAAGGGUGCGUAGGCGGGUUUAUAAGUCAGUGGUGAAAUCAACGGGCUCAACCUGUUAACUGCCAAUGAUACUGUAGGACUUGAAUAUGAGAGAGGUAGGCGGAAUGUAGCAUGUAGCGGUGAAAUGCUUAGAUAUGCUACGGAACACCGAUUGCGAAGGCAGCUUACUAUUUCAUGAUUGACGCUGAGGAACGAAAGCGUGGGUAGCGAACAGGAUUAGAUACCCUAGUAGUCC
rnacentral:rRNA from 1 species